UUAAGCAUCAAGCAUUUCCUGAGUCCAAGUUAGCCAAUUUUAAUAUAGGAUAUCAUUAUAUGACACCUAUAAGCUUGAGCCGUGAAAUCAAGAUUAAUUAUAUCACAAUCCCAUCUUUUGAUCCAAGGGUCACCCAAAUGUCCAAGGUAUAUCCAGGCCUGCUAGCCAAAGCCUGUGGGACUUUCAUUUAUUGCUUCACCACGGUUCUCUUGGACUGAGAGACCAUCAGAAUCAGCGGAAGAGAGUUCCUUCAUUUCCUAGGCGAGGUAACAUCAUAAAACCUUUCCAAAGUCGGAGCUGGAAUGUAAGUUAAGGUACGACCAACAGUAGGUUUGUUUUACAUAGAGAGGUUAGUAGACAUGAAAAAAAUCUAAAGGUUAGAAAAAUAGCCAUAAUGACAAAUACAGCUAAUAGCAAAAAGUACAAAAAUUUCUUAAUUAGUAAAGUCAACCAUGUUCCUAGCUCAAAUGUCCAAUCCCAAUCCCCAAAGAAACCAGUAUCCUGUUUGAUAUCCUGUACUAAGUCAUGUAAAUCUUUUAUAUGUUUAUGGAUCAUAGUGCCAUGGUCAGACAGGUUAAAACAGCACAUACCUUCAAUAGCUUCACAGCUAAUUCAUGUUUCAUUAGUAAGUAGUCAAUGGCUGCUCUAUUCUCAAGGAUUGCCUUCUUAUUUGCCUGGUUGUCCAUAAGUAGCUCUUCUAGGGCCUGUGAAGUGGCAUUUGCAAGGGAACAGGCUACAGCAUUAACUACUCGGGUAUUAUACAAUGCUAAGCCUGGGACUCCUACCAAGGUGUACGCUAGGGCAGUGUAUUCGGCUUUAGAUAAGAGAGUGAUUUCAG